GGGAUGCCUGGUGGGUUCAGUCGGAAGAGCGCACAACUCUUGAUCUCAGGGCCAUGAGCUCAAGCCCCACGAUGGGUGUAGAGAUUA